rnacentral:rRNA from 1 species
GGUAACGCGUACACGACCUACCUCUGACAGGGGGAUAGCCCCGGGAAACUGCGAUUAAUACCGCAUACGAUUCAGUUGAUAGAGCGACUGAAUGAAAGCUGAGGCGGUCAGAGAUGGGUGUGCGUCUGAUUAGCUAGUUGGUAGGGUAACGGCCUACCAAGGCGAUGAUCAGUAGGGGGCGUGAGAGCGUGAUCCCCCACACGGGUACUGAGACACGGACCCGACUCCUACGGGAGGCAGCAGUAAGGAAUAUUGGUCAAUGGGCGCAAGCCUGAACCAGCCAUCCAGCGUGCAGGAAGACGGCCCUAUGGGUUGUAAACUGCUUUAGUCAGGGAAUAAACCCCUGGAUUUACUCCGGGGCUGAAGGUACCUGAAGAAUAAGCACCGGCUAACUCCGUGCCAGCAGCCGCGGU